GAGGCAAUGAAUAUAUAAAAUGUAUAAAACAAUAUUUCUCGACAUCUAUAAAAAUGUCGUAAAGAUUUAUUAAGUUUUCUCUUCGUAAGUUUCAAGAAAGCAUAAAAAUGCCGAAGACACGAAUUAAAAAACUAUUUAGAAAUAAUACAGAGAUAAAUAGUUUGAUGCAACCAAUGGCGAAUAAAAAGAAAUUAAAAUACGCAUAUAUCAAUUAAAUUUAGUAGAUAUUAUAAAAGAUUAUAAAACGCAAAGGACAAUUUCUGAGGCUGCUGUAAUGAAAAACGAAGAAAAUCAAUUUAACACCAAUAGAAAAUCUGUAAAAAAAGCAAAUAUGGAAGAAAAACAACCAAAAUUAUAUAAAAGAAAUAAUGGAUAAGAAAGAUUCUUUAAAUUAUAAUUAUGUACUGAAAAUACUGUCUGUACUGAUACUGAAAAAAUAGUAUACAAUGAUAAUAUCAAUAUAUCCAACCUACAUAAUGUAAAUGCAACUGUUAACAAUUUUGCUGCAAAUAGCAACAACAAAGAAAAUAUUUUGGAUAGCAAUGAAAUAAAACACAAUAAUAAAACUAACACAUCAAGCA